UAUCUCAGAACUCUGGAGGAUGUCCACAAGUCAAGAACAGGAUCUCUCCAUCCAGCUAACAUAACUUUCAUUUUCUCCUCCAAAAGAAGCAGAUGCAUUUAACAUAAUUCUGAGGAAAAGCACAUACAAUUUUGAUAAAUUUCAUAACUGACACCUGUCACAAUUUGGCAGCAUGAUAAAGUUUUUUUAAAAGCACAAAUCACAUAUAGGUGUUGCAUCUUUGUUUCCUAGCUUCAUCUCACUUGUCUUCCUUUUCUCCUUGAGGUGAGAGUAGCUACUAGUGAAAGGGGGCAGCUCUCUGCACCAUCCACAGCCAAGAGGUGAUCUGAGAAUGCCUGCUAACGCCAGACCAACUACUGACUGUCAGCAGUGGCAGAAGAUCCUCAUGGCUAGUUGCAUCCAGUGUGCAUGAAUUGGUUUGGAGGACGGCAACUAGGGAAGCCACAGUCUGAGAAUGGCACUUAUCUUGAAAAAUCCCUAUCGAAAUGUAAGAUUCCUCAGAUAGAAAACAUUGCUCAUUAAACCAAUAACGGGCUUUAAGAUUGCAUCAAAUGUUGCAAUACUACUAAGCAACAGAGACAGAAGAGACCUACAAUCAAGUUUUGCACUGGCACCUCACUGGAUGCAUGGAACAUUUGGGACAGUGCACAUGUGUGAAAUUUA